UACGUAGGGGGCAAGCGUUGUCCGGAAUCAUUGGGCGUAAAGAGCGUGUAGGCGGCCCGGUAAGUCCGCUGUGAAAGUCGGGGGCUCAACCCUCGAAUGCCGGUGGAUACUGUCGGGCUAGAGUGCGGAAGAGGCGAGUGGAAUUCCUGGUGUAGUGGUGAAAUGCGCAGAUAUCAGGAGGAACACCAAUUGCGAAGGCAGCUCGCUGGGACGUAACUGACGCUGAGACGCGAAAGCGUGGGGAGCAAACAGG
rnacentral:rRNA from 1 species